GGAGUGGUAGGACAAGCAAUGA
rnacentral:siRNA from 1 species